UACGGAGGGUGCAAACGUUGCUCGGAAUCAUUGGGCGUAAAGCGCACGUAGGCGGCCUGAUAAGUCGGGUGUGAAAGCCCUGGGCUCAACCCAGGAAGUGCACUCGAAACUGUCAGGCUUGAAUAUGGAAGAGGGUCGCGGAAUUCCCGGUGUAGAGGUGAAAUUCGUAGAUAUCGGGAGGAACACCAGUGGCGAAGGCGGCGACCUGGGCCAAUAUUGACGCUGAGGUGCGAAAGGCGUGGGGAGCAAACAGG
rnacentral:rRNA from 1 species